AUACCGUGUCUGCAUGUAUGGAUGACAAGUGCUGAUUGCCAACUGCAGCUAUGUCAACCAGGAAUCCUUGUGGAAGUCACCAUGAGGGCUGAAGAUGAGGAAGUGGACCUUGGCAUCCCCUGCAUCCCGAUUACUUGGCUCAGAGUUCACUCUUGUCCCAGCUAAGUCCUAACUCCUGUGGUGGCCUCACCAUGCGGCUCGGGCUAGCUUCAGACUCAGGAUCCCCAUCUCUGCCCUCUGAGUGCUGAGACAGAAAAGACCAUGCAGCUGAUGAAUUUGAUGAGAAGAAGGGCCUCCUCAGCUCUGCCUACUCUGUUUCUCCUAUUUGCUUCCAGGCUACUC